AUCCAGCUGAACAAUCCCAAAUAGGACGAAACGCAUGUCAAACUGGAU
rfam:Schistosoma mattheei strain Denwood, Zambia genome assembly, scaffold: SMTD_contig0004115